rnacentral:rRNA from 1 species
UACGUAGGGACCGAGCGUUGUCCGGAAUCAUUGGGCGUAAAGAGCUCGUAGGCGGUUUGUCGCGUCUGCCGUGAAAAUCCGGGGCUCAACCCCGGACUUGCGGUGGGUACGGGCAGACUAGAGUGUGGUAGGGGAGACUGGAAUUCCUGGUGUAGCGGUGAAAUGCGCAGAUAUCAGGAGGAACACCGAUGGCGAAGGCAGGUCUCUGGGCCACUACUGACGCUGAGAAGCGAAAGCGUGGGGAGCGAACAGG